CAGUUUCUCUGUGUGUGUGUGUAUUUAGCAGUCUGUCUGUAUUUAGUAGACUGCUGAAUACACACCAGACUGCUGAGUACACACAGACUGCUAAAUACACACACACACACACA